rnacentral:lncRNA from 1 species
GGGACGCAUCGAAGCCACUGAGCCUGCUUCUUUCACAGUCAAAGAGGAUAACAAUCUGUCUCUUGUUGAAUACGAACUGAUUAACGUUACUGAUCAGUGAAUGUCGUUUAGUAUCUUUACAAUGAGGCUAGUAUUUGGUUCUGAUUCUUCUAUCGUUAAUGUCUUUUGAUUUAGAUGAUGAAGCUUUUGUAUUACUGGUUCAGAUAUGCUUUCUUUUUUUUACCUUAAAACAUGAUCCCAGAAUCUCGCUUAUUGAUCGAGGCAAUGGCAAUGGUAUUGUUCCCUUGAAUCUGUUGAUGUUGUGUUAAAAACCAUUGAGAGCUUUCUAAUGCUCCCCAAUCUUUGAAGUCAAACAAAGAACUUCACGAAAGAGAUAUGAACCUGAAAUGGGCAUAACUUAUAAUAGCAUAGAGAGUCUUACAACACAGCAAAAAUGUUCCACGUUCCUAUCACAAGCCCCUCGUGUUUCAAUACCAACAAAGGAAACAAGAACAAAACGAGAUAGAAAACUAGACUCACUCCACUUCUUUGAUGAUCCUUCUUGUCCGAUGAGAUUCAGUGACAACUGUUCCUGGGGCACUAUGAGCUUUCCUACGCUCAUCUUUCCUUCUCUUCGCAUCGUUCAUAGCUCUGCUUUCCGCUUUUGCUUUGUAUAUAGGUUUCGGCAAGUGCCUGUGUCUGUAAUUUCACAUCAACCAAAAACGUUAAUGUUUUAGUCUUUUGACAAAAUCUCCAAAGUUGGAAGCCAUUUUUAUCUAUGAUCAUGUACCUGACAAUACGCUUGAUCUCAGGAAGAUGCUUGUACCGAUUCUUCACCGCCUCAUUGUACUCAUGCUUCUUCUGCUCCCUUGGAAGAAUCUGCAACCACCAAUCAACAUAUGAGAAUUUGCCAUUUUCAUUUUGUUUAAAAGAAGCUUAAUGCUAUAUAACAUUAAAAAAGGCACAGAUUCUUACAACUCCUAGUUGCUCUGAUGCUUUGGCCUUCCAUAGCCUGAGAUUAGUGUCAUCACUGCCGGAUAUAACAUAGGUAGCAUCACUGCUAUACUUGACACAGAAUACUCUACAAGAGACAAGUAAGUAAACAAACGCAUUAAUAUAUUAAAAACGUUUACAAUUAAGUUUCACCAGGGUACCUCUGCAUCCUCUUCGUAUGGUAGAUUUCCCUGCUGUGUCCUCCAUUGUAUGGGAAGAUUCUCACGGAUCGAUCAUAAGAACCGGUAACGAACUCACGACCAGUUGGUGAAAAAUCAAUAUCCAUCCUGGAAAAGAUGAUUAAAAUUGAUAAAUCAUAAUGCAUUAUGAUAAUCACACGUUGAAUACUUGACCGGGGGUUUUAUCAUUCUUACACAGCAGAAACAUGAUCUUUAUGCACGCACUUGGCUUCUUCAUUCUUUCUACCAUCAAAGCUAUAGCAGUUGCCAUCUUCAUUUGCCUAUUCAGUUUCAUCAAUUAAGACAUAAGCCAAGGACAAAUGCUUAGAGAAAUUUUCGUUCUAUGAUCAUCACUUACAGCUGUGAAGUUCAUAGGCUCCAUAGGGUUCCAUGCGAUUGAAUUUGUUUUGGUCUGCCAAAGGAGAAGCAAUUUUUUAAGUUUGAAGAGUAAAAAAAGGAAACAGGGCGGCCAAAGAAGCGGCAAGUGUUUCAAUAAAAAGUGUCCUUUCCAGGUUAUACGACAACUGCAGCAAAGACGUUAAAAAGACCCUUUUGCCCCUGGGUCACGGUGAUCCGUCCGUCUACCCUUGCUUCAAGACUUCCGUUGAUGCUGAGGAAGCCGUUGCUGAGUCCCUACGAUCUGGCGCCGCCAACUCCUACGCCCCCGGGGUUGGUAUUUUACCGGCCAGGAGGUACUUAAGUAGUCACUAAUUGUUAUGUUAUGCAUAUGCUUCAUUUUAAAAACUUUAGUGGCUUAGAAAUAGUUAUCUCGUUAUUGGUCGGUUGGUCGGGUAAUAGAGCAAAGAAAACAUGCUAAUAGAAACAUUUUCAAAACUAAAUUAAUGUGGUAAAAAAUCUAUCGAUUAGAAAAAUAGUGUGAAGUGUAAAAUGUCAAUGAAGAACGACUUGAAAUUAUAUAUGAAGUCUUAUAUACGAUUCAAAAGCUUUAUGACUUUAUGAGAUAUUACACUUUUAUGAGGUAUUACACUAUGCAUGCUAUGCAUUUUCGAAACUAUACAUAACCUUUACAGCUAUUUUUAUACUACUAUUAAUUUAGGGCGGUGGCAAAUUAUUUGAACCGGGACCUUCCGCAUGAAUUAAAAUCAGACGAUAUAUUUAUGACGGUCGGGUGUUGCCAAGGGAUAGAGACCAUAAUUCAUGUUCUGUCCUGUCCCAAGUCGAAUAUCUUGCUCCCCAGUCUUAUCUAUCCUCUCUACUAUAGUCACGCUAUAUAUAGCCAAGUCGAGAUUCGCAAAUAUGAUCUCCUCCCUGACCAAGACUGGGAGAUCGAUCUCCAAGGCAUUGAAGUCAUUGCAGAUGAUAACACAAUCGCUAUGGUGAUAGCUAACCCUCACAACCCAUGUGGAAAUGUGUACACAUAUCAGCAUCUAAAGAAGGUGAAAUUGUAUACCUUUAAGUUAAUAUUCUUUUUAACUUCACUCUUUUUCUUUGUCAACCGCCCAUUUGGCUAACCAUAUUUUUGCCAAUUUCACUAUUAUUUAUGUUACAUUUUUAUAUGUAUGUAUGAGGGUCGGCUUACUAUGAAAGCCAACACAUAUGGACCUCCCCGGUCCAACUCUAAUUAAGUACAAUCAUUUUAAGCCCCUUAUAUUUUACAACAUAUAUUAUAUCAGAUUUAGAUUUAACCACAUCCUGUUACCAGUUAUUACAUUACAUGUCUUUGUUCAAAACACUAACUGAUAAUUAUUUUAAAGUUUUCAGAUUUUUUUUAUAAUAUUUUUGAAAAGUUAAUUAUAGGAGCUUUAAAAAGUUACCCAAGAACCCCUAAUAAUAUUUGAGCUGUCCUGUAGGUGGCUGAGAUGGCGAAGAAGCUAGGGAUAAUGGUUAUUUCUGAUGAAGUUUAUAAGCACACAAUAUAUGGAGAGAAUUCAUUUGUCCCGAUGGGGAUAUUCGCAUCGAUUGUUCCUGUGGUUACACUCGGAUCCGUUUCCAAGGGGUGGCUCGUCCCUGGCUGGAGAAUAGGUUGGAUGGCGAUGCAUGAUCCAAAUAAUGUUUUCAAAGCCACUGGGGUAGGGUUUUCAGUUUUGGAUCAUCCUUUGAUACUUAUUUAAUAUAUCUUCCUCUUGGACGUGAUAUAAUAAACGUUGUAGAUAUGUGACAGUUUGAACAUGUAACCAUAUCUUUUUUGCCAUUAAGGUCGUUGAAUCCAUCAAGGACCUUCUUAACAUAAGUCCAGAUCCAUCGACAAUUCUACAGGUUUGUACUCUCAAAUUUAUAUUAGAAUACACGAAGAAAACACAUGCAAUGAGUUAAAGGUAAAAUGUAAAAGAACUAGUGUGUUUCUUUUUUGAAAAAUAAAGAACUAAUGUGCUAUAAUUGAUAGGUUGCACUUCCAAAUAUCUUGGAGAAGACAAAGAAAGAUUUCUUUGAUAAGAAAAACUUAACAUUUAGGCAAAAUGUAGACAUGAUGUUCGAUGCCCUCAAGGAGGUUCCUUGCCUCGUUUGCCCUAAGAAACCUGAGUCGUGUGCUUACUUAGUGGUACCAAUUUCUUUUUAUACGUACAUAUUUUUUUUCUCUAAACAUUCUGAAUAAUCUUUAUAAGUAUAUACUAUAAUAUGCAAGCUCGCUGAUACUAUUUCCCUAAUCAUUUAAUCUUUUAAGGUUCUUAGCACACUUUUAUAAUUUUGAUAUUACUUUUUGUAACCAAAAUAUCAGUAUUAUUAUGAAUGGUACAUGUUCAUCAGAUCCUAUGUAAAAAAGUGUCACUACUCACUCACUAGUGACAAUCUAAUUUGUAUAUAUGGCAGACAAAAUUGGACCUAUCACUAUUGGAGGACAUCACAGACGAUGUUGAUUUCUGCAUGAAGCUGGCCCGAGAGGAGAAUCUCGUCCUUUUACCAGGUAAGCAUCACAAUUCACGUCAUCUAAGAUUUUGAAGUAAUUAUAAUGUUUUUUUUUUUUGAACAUGUAAUUAUAAUGUUUUUUAAUAAGAAGAAAUUAAAUCAUGAGAGAGAUGAGCUGAUCUGGAAUCUAAAUGCAGGAGAGGCAUUAGGCAAGAAGAAUUGGGUGAGAAUCUCGAUAGGAGUAGAGAGAUCAAUGCUAGAAGACGCUUUCGCGAGGCUCAAAAGCUUCGUCGCUCGCCAUGUCAAAUCACAAACCACAUAAGAUCAGCUUCAUUGUCGGAAACCUGAGACCCUAUCUUUCUACUGUUUUUGUAUUUCUCUAUUAAAUAAUUUCUCAAUAAAGAUUGAGACUUUGGAUUAUUGUCUGUGUGUGUGUGUGGGCGCGUAUGUGUAAGCAGCUAUGCUUGUCCAGUUCUCCGUUAGAAUGUCGUUUUAAUUAGUCGAGUCGAGUCAAAACAUGAUGGCGCGAGCUUAAUUACCAUCUUGGGUUUUAUGUAUGACGAGUUGGAAAUAAAUAUAAUAUUUGACGAUUAAACCUUUUACUCCUUCAAAAUAUUUUUAUGAGUUAACACAUAUUAAAUGAAUUUAAGUAUUUAUAACUAAUUAUAUUAUACUCCUUCCCUUCGUUUCAAUUUAGUUCUUUUUGUAAAGUAAUUUUUUUUAUUUCAAAAUAAUACUGUUUUAUAAAUUCAAAACAAAAUUAUUAAUUUUAUAUUUUAAUCUAUUUUAUAUUGGUUAAAAUGUGGUUAUAUGUAUUAGUAGUAAUGUUUUUAUUUAGUAAAUAUACAAAAUUAAAUGUUUUACUAAUUUGAAUGCAAAGUUUAAAAUGACAAUUAAAACGAAACGUAAGAAAUAUUAACAAAUAAUACACAGUUUUUAAUACAUAUCGAUCAACAAAAUUAAAUUAAAUUAGAUUUUAAUGUAAAGUAUAUAAUUCAUUAAUAUAAAUUAAUAAAAUAUUUUACUUUUGUGAAACAAUAAAAAAGUUAAAAAAAAAUUACUUUAAUAAGUUGUAAAGUAGGUGAUAAAUAAAUAUCAAACCACAACAGGACACGUGACAGGUCCAUCAUACACCGCAAAGCAGUUGAUAAACACUCUCGUCCAUCUUGGGAGAAAGGGAAGGCAUCGUCGUCGUCUCUCUUUAUAAACCCUAAAAAGUACAUCGAUUCCUCCAUUAGGGCGAACGCGAAAUCUAAAAUUAGAGAGCGAUGGCGAGUACAGCAGCUGCGACGGGAACGACGACGGCGAAGAGAAAACCUGUGUUUGUGAAGGUUGAGCAGCUGAAGCCUGGAACGACCGGUCACACAUUGACUGUCAAGGUCGUUGACGCCAAUCCUGUGGUUCCGGCUGCGAGGAAGGCUCGUCCGGGGAGUUCUAUGGGUCGUCCGUCUCAGCCGAGUCGAAUCGCUGAGUGUCUCAUCGGAGACGAAACCGGGUGUAUUCUCUUCACUGCUCGUAACGAUCAAGGUUACUCACACUCCUAGUCUUUUUCUUACAUGAUGUGGAAAUGGUAUUUGUCUUAUUGAUAAAGUCUGAUCCUUUAGGUUCUUUAAUGCACAUCUGUCAAUGUUUAGACUUGUAAGAUAAAACAGGUGAUGUGUCUUGUGUUGAUUUUUGGACAUAUAUUGCAAAAAGCUGUCAUCUUGUCUGAAAAUCUGCACAAGACUAGUGUUUUGUCUUUCGUCUUUGCUGAUUAAGUGAUGUCUUUGUGCAAUUUAAGAGGCUUUGAGGUUUCUCUGUAAUAUCAUCUUGCUUGGUCAGAUGUUGAGUUAGAUGUUAUAACAUGACUCCAAGACUUACAUAGCUUUUCCUGUAAAAAAAGUUUGUUUUUGUGCCAGUUAUUGUGGAAUCCCUGUGGCUUAGUGAUUAGAUUGAUUUCUUUCUUUUGUUUGUUUGUGUGUAUAGUUGAUCUUAUGAAGCCGGGGGAAACAGUGAUAGUGCGCAAUUCGAGGAUAGACAUGUUCAAGGGUACAAUGAGGCUAGGGGUUGAUAAAUGGGGACGCAUCGAAGCCACUGAGCCUGCUUCUUUCACAGUCAAAGAGGAUAACAAUCUGUCUCUUGUUGAAUACGAACUGAUUAACGUUACUGAUCAGUGAAUGUCGUUUAGUAUCUUUACAAUGAGGCUAGUAUUUGGUUCUGAUUCUUCUAUCGUUAAUGUCUUUUGAUUUAGAUGAUGAAGCUUUUGUAUUACUGGUUCAGAUAUGCUUUCUUUUUUUUACCUUAAAACAUGAUCCCAGAAUCUCGCUUAUUGAUCGAGGCAAUGGCAAUGGUAUUGUUCCCUUGAAUCUGUUGAUGUUGUGUUAAAAACCAUUGAGAGCU